CUGGUGUCAGCCGCCGCGGUAAUACCAGCACCUCGAGUGGUCAGGACGUUUAUUGGGCCUAAAGCAUCCGUAGCCGGCUCUGCAAGUCUUCGGUUAAAUCCACCUGCUCAACAGAUGGGCUGCUGGAGAUACUACAGAGCUAGGGAGUGGGAGAGGCAGACGGUAUUCAGUGGGUAGGGGUAAAAUCCUCUGAUCCAUUGAGGACCACCAGUGGCGAAGGCGGUCUGUCAGAACACGUUCGACGGUGAGGGAUGAAAGCUGGGGGAGCAAACCGGAUUAGAUACCCGGGUAGUCCCAGCUGUAAACGAUGCAAACUCGGUGAUGCAUUGGCUUAUGGCCAAUGCAGUGCCGCAGGGAAGCCGUUAAGUUUGCCGCCUGGGAAGUACGGACGCAAGUCUGAAACUUAAAGGAAUUGGCGGGGGAGCACCACAAGGGGUGAAGCCUGCGGUUCAAUUGGAGUCAACGCCAGGAAUCUUACCCGGGGAGACAGCAGAAUGAAGGUCAAGCUGAAGACUUUACCAGACAAGCU
rnacentral:rRNA from 2 species